rnacentral:rRNA from 1 species
UACGGGGGGAGCAAGCGUUGUUCGGAUUUACUGGGCGUAAAGGGCGCGUAGGCGGCCACCGCAAGUCGAUUGUGAAAUCUCCGGGCUUAACCCGGAAAGGUCAACCGAUACUGCGGGGCUAGAGUGCAGAAGGGGCAACUGGAAUUCCUGGUGUAGCGGUGAAAUGCGCAGAUAUCAGGAGGAACACCGAUGGCGAAGGCAGGUCUCUGGGCCGAUACUGACGCUGAGGAGCGAAAGCGUGGGGAGCGAACAGG